rnacentral:misc_RNA from 1 species
UUUCCGUAGGUGAACCUGCGGAAGGAUCAUUAUUGUAUAACCGAGGUGCGAGGGCCGUCGCUGACCCGAAAGGUCGUGCACGCCCGAGUGCCCUCACACACAUCCAUCUCACCCCUAUGUGCACCACCGCGUGGGUCCCCCUUUGGCUUGUUCGGAGGGGGGCUUACGUUUUCACACAAACUUUGUAUGCAGUGUAGAAUGUAUUUUUUGUUUUUGCGAUCACGCAAUCAAUACAACUUUCAACAACGGAUCUCUUGGCUCUCGCAUCGAUGAAGAACGAGC